GAUUUCAAUAAAUCCUGACCCAAUUAGAACUUUAUAAGUCUAAUUGGCAAAUUCAAGAUAAAAUUUCUUAAUAUGUGACCCCAUAGGUUUCAUUUUAUCUGGUAGUGAGAUAUAUUGUAAUCUCUAUCACAAUAUCAUUGAAACUCUUUUCGAUGGAUUGAAAUAAUUUCAACUCUACCAUUGAAGGAUUAUCGAUUAUCAAGAUGAUGUUCGAUGAGUCUCAUAAUCCACUAGUAACACCUAGCAGUAUGUAGUGACAAUCCAAUAGAAUGAAAGUAUGAAUUCUUAGGUACAGUUAUCAUAUGAUUCAGUUCUUCUAUCAUGAGUUCCGACUUGAUGGAGGUCAUGGAGAACUCGUCAAAGUUCAUUGUCAAUCAUAUGUUAGAUUGGCUCGACUCGAGUUCAUUUAUAAAUUCUAUGAAUACUCUUUUUCAGUAUUCACACUUGCUUUGGCUAAAGACUUUCUGAACUCAGUCUCGCAAAUUACUUAGAACUUUUUCUUUUUUACUAAGAUCGAUAGAUUCCAUCUAGGUACAUCCUACUUCAAACAGCG
rnacentral:lncRNA from 1 species